rnacentral:rRNA from 1 species
CGAUGAAGCCCUUCGGGGUGUAAAGCUCUUUCGGCAGGGAAGAUUAUGACGGUACCUGCCACGAAGCACGCUGCGGCUACUACGGUGC